rnacentral:rRNA from 1 species
UGGGGAAUAUUGGACAAUGGGCGAAAGCCUGAUCCAGCCAUGCCGCGUGUGUGAAGAAGGUCUUCGGAUUGUAAAGCACUUUAAGUUGGGAGGAAGGGCAGUAACCUAAUACGUUGCUGUCUUGACGUUACCGACAGAAUAAGCACCGGCUAACUCUGUGCCAGCAGCCGCGGUAAUACAGAGGGUGCAAGCGUUAAUCGGAAUUACUGGGCGUAAAGCGCGCGUAGGUGGUUUGUUAAGUUGGAUGUGAAAUCCCCGGGCUCAACCUGGGAACUGCAUUCAAAACUGACAAGCUAGAGUAUGGUAGAGGGUGGUGGAAUUUCCUGUGUAGCGGUGAAAUGCGUAGAUAUAGGAAGGAACACCAGUGGCGAAGGCGACCACCUGGACUGAUACUGACACUGAGGUGCGAAAGCGUGGGGAGCAAACAGGAUUAGAUACCCGGGUAGUCCCUGAGCGGGCUGGCAAGGCGCAU